rnacentral:misc_RNA from 1 species
AAGUCGUAACAAGGUUUCCGUAGGUGAACCUGCGGAAGGAUCAUCAACAAAUCUAUAAUGUUGGGUGUAAAAGCCCAACAAAUACCAAUGUGAAUUGGGAGGGCAACCUCUCUAGGCCAAUUUUUUGGCCAAGUAUACUAGACCAGAGUCGGAUAAGUAAAAAUAAUAUAAACAACUUUUAACAAUGGAUCUCUUGGCUCUU